rnacentral:rRNA from 1 species
UACGGAGGGUGCAAGCGUUAUCCGGAUUCACUGGGUUUAAAGGGUGCGUAGGCGGGUUGGUAAGUCCGUGGUGAAAUCCCCAAGCUUAACUUGGGAACUGCCGUGGAUACUAUCAAUCUUGAAUAUCGUGGAGGUAAGCGGAAUAUGUCAUGUAGCGGUGAAAUGCUUAGAUAUGACAUAGAACACCAAUUGCGUAGGCAGCUUACUACACGAUCAUUGACGCUGAGGCACGAAAGCGUGGGGAGCGAACAGG